UGGCCAAGGGCGGGGCCCGCGAGGGAGGCCGGGCGGCCCGGCAAGCGGCGCUGCGGGGUAGGCUGCUUUCCUGAGGCCGGACUCAACGGGUCUCGGCUGAGCCACCGGGUGAGCUCACCGCCCAGCCCAAACCAGGAGAUUGCGAGGGAGCGAUGCGGUGCAGCGCGUGUUCUUGGGGAAGAUCCCGACUAAGCCAUUUUCCAGUGGCACCUCUUCCAUCAUGAGUUCCUGAGGCAGUCCGAUGGGGCUACUUUAUUCCAGAACAAUCACAAUUUGCUUGUAAAUGCAUCACGAAGAGGCAGCCCAGAAUGAAGAAAGCAAGCAGGAGUGUUGGCUCAGUGCCUAAAGUGUCUGCAAUAAGUAAAACGCAAACAGCAGAAAAAAUUAAACCUGAAAACAGCUCUUCAGCAUCUACGGGAGGCAAACUUGUAAAACCUGGAACAGCAGCAUCAUUGUCAAAGACCAAGAGCAGUGAUGACCUUUUAGCUGGAAUGGCCGGAGGGGUAACGGUGACUAAUGGUGUUAAAGGAAAGAAAAGCACCUGCCCAUCUGCAGCACCUUCAGCAUCUGCCCCUGCCAUGACCACCGUGGAGAACAAAUCCAAGAUUAGCACAGGCACAGCUUCUUCAACCAAGCGGAGCACUUCUACAGGUAAUAAAGAAUCCAGUUCUACUAGAGAAAGAUUACGUGAACGUACCCGAUUAAACCAGAGCAAAAAACUACCUUCUGCAGGUCAGGGAGCUAAUGACAUGGCAUUGGCCAAACGUUCCCGCAGUCGAACUGCUACAGAAUGUGACGUUCGUAUGAGCAAGUCUAAGUCAGACAAUCAGAUCAGUGACAGAGCUGCUUUGGAGGCCAAAGUGAAGGAUCUUCUCACGCUGGCAAAAACCAAAGACGUAGAAAUUUUACAUUUGAGAAAUGAACUGCGAGACAUGCGUGCCCAGCUGGGCAUUAAUGAGGAUCAUUCUGAGGGUGAUGAAAAAUCUGAGAAGGAAACUAUUAUGGCUCACCAGCCGACUGAUGUGGAGUCCACUUUAUUGCAGUUGCAGGAACAGAAUACUGCCAUCCGUGAAGAACUCAACCAGCUGAAAAAUGAAAACAGAAUGUUAAAGGACAGGUUGAAUGCAUUGGGCUUUUCCCUAGAGCAGAGGUUAGACAAUUCUGAAAAACUGUUUGGCUAUCAGUCCCUGAGCCCAGAAAUCACCCCUGGUAACCAGAGCGAUGGAGGAGGAACUCUGACUUCUUCAGUGGAAGGCUCUGCCCCUGGCUCAGUGGAGGAUCUCUUGAGUCAGGAUGAAAAUACACUAAUGGACCAUCAGCACAGUAACUCCAUGGACAAUUUAGACAGUGAGUGCAGUGAGGUCUACCAGCCCCUCACAUCGAGCGAUGAUGCGCUGGAUGCACCAUCCUCCUCAGAGUCGGAAGGCAUCCCCAGCAUAGAGCGCUCCCGGAAGGGGAGCAGCGGGAAUGCCAGUGAAGUGUCCGUGGCUUGCCUGACUGAACGGAUACACCAGAUGGAAGAGAACCAACACAGUACAAGUGAGGAACUCCAGGCAACCCUGCAAGAGCUAGCUGAUUUACAGCAGAUUACCCAGGAACUGAAUAGUGAAAACGAAAGGCUUGGAGAAGAGAAGGUUAUUCUGAUGGAGUCUUUAUGUCAGCAGAGCGAUAAGUUGGAACACUUUAGUCGACAGAUUGAAUACUUCCGCUCUCUUCUAGAUGAGCAUCACAUUUCUUAUGUCAUAGAUGAAGAUGUAAAAAGUGGGCGCUAUAUGGAAUUAGAGCAACGUUACAUGGACCUCGCUGAGAAUGCCCGUUUUGAACGGGAGCAGCUUCUUGGUGUCCAGCAGCAUUUAAGCAAUACUUUGAAAAUGGCAGAACAAGACAAUAAGGAAGCUCAAGAAAUGAUAGGGGCACUCAAAGAACGCAGUCACCAUAUGGAGCGAAUUAUUGAGUCUGAGCAGAAAGGAAAAGCAGCCUUGGCAGCCACGUUAGAGGAAUACAAAGCCACAGUGGCCAGUGACCAGAUAGAGAUGAAUCGCCUGAAGGCUCAGCUGGAGAAUGAAAAGCAGAAAGUGGCAGAGCUGUAUUCUAUCCAUAACUCUGGAGACAAAUCUGAUAUUCAGGACCUCCUGGAGAGUGUCAGGCUGGACAAAGAAAAAGCAGAGACUUUGGCUAGUAGCUUGCAGGAAGAUCUGGCUCAUACCCGAAAUGAUGCCAAUCGAUUACAGGAUGCCAUUGCUAAGGUAGAGGAUGAAUACCGAGCCUUCCAAGAAGAAGCUAAGAAACAAAUUGAAGAUUUGAAUAUGACGUUAGAAAAAUUAAGAUCAGACCUGGAUGAAAAAGAAACAGAAAGGAGUGACAUGAAAGAAACCAUCUUUGAACUUGAAGAUGAAGUAGAACAACAUCGUGCUGUGAAACUUCAUGACAACCUCAUUAUUUCUGAUCUAGAGAAUACAGUUAAAAAACUCCAGGACCAAAAGCACGACAUGGAAAGAGAAAUAAAGACACUCCACAGAAGACUUCGGGAAGAAUCUGCGGAAUGGCGGCAGUUUCAGGCUGAUCUCCAGACUGCAGUAGUCAUUGCAAAUGACAUUAAAUCUGAAGCCCAAGAGGAGAUUGGUGAUCUAAAGCGCCGGUUACAUGAGGCUCAAGAAAAAAAUGAGAAACUCACAAAAGAAUUGGAGGAAAUAAAGUCACGCAAGCAAGAGGAGGAGCGAGGCCGGGUAUACAAUUACAUGAAUGCCGUUGAGAGAGAUUUGGCAGCCUUAAGGCAGGGAAUGGGACUGAGUAGAAGGUCCUCGACUUCCUCAGAGCCAACUCCUACAGUAAAAACCCUCAUCAAGUCCUUUGACAGUGCAUCUCAAGUACCAAACCCUGCUGCAGCUGCAAUUCCUCGAACGCCCCUGAGCCCAAGUCCUAUGAAAACCCCUCCUGCAGCAGCUGUGUCCCCUAUGCAGAUGGAGUCUAGUUCUGUCGCCCACGCUGGAAUGCAGUGGCGUGACCUUGGCUCACUGCAACCUCUGCCUCCUGGGUUCAAGUGAUUCUCCUGCCUCAGCCCCCUGAGUAGCUGGGACUACAGAGACAUUCCAUAAGUGGACCAAUCUCAACAUCCAAACCCCUGACAGCCCUGUCAGAUAAGAGACCAAACUAUGGGGAAAUCCCUGUUCAAGAGCAUCUGUUAAGAACAUCUUCAGCCAGCCGGCCUGCUUCCCUGCCAAGAGUGCCUGCGAUGGAAAGUGCCAAGACCCUCUCAGUGUCUCGACGAAGUAGUGAAGAAGUGAAACGGGACAUUUCUGCACAGGAGGGAGCGUCGCCAGCCUCUCUGAUGGCUAUGGGAACCACGUCUCCACAGCUUUCCCUGUCCUCUUCUCCAACGGCAUCUGUGACUCCCACCACCCGAAGCCGAAUAAGAGAAGAAAGGAAAGACCCUCUCUCAGCAUUGGCCAGAGAAUAUGGAGGAUCAAAGAGGAACGCCUUGCUGAAGUGGUGUCAGAAGAAAACAGAAGGCUAUCAGAAUAUUGACAUUACAAACUUCAGCAGCAGCUGGAAUGAUGGGCUGGCCUUCUGUGCCCUCCUGCAUACAUAUCUCCCUGCCCACAUUCCAUAUCAAGAACUGAACAGCCAGGAUAAGAGAAGGAACUUCAUGCUGGCUUUCCAGGCAGCUGAAAGUGUCGGCAUCAAAUCCACACUGGACAUUAAUGAAAUGGUACGGACUGAACGACCCGACUGGCAGAACGUGAUGCUGUAUGUGACGGCGAUCUACAAGUACUUUGAGACCUGAGCAUGCCGGGAGGAGCCGCCCCAAUAGCGGGGGUACCCCUCCACAGCGACCGAGCGACACCGACGCCAUUAGCUACGCACCCCUGUAAAGCUUCCAGCAACUCUGGGCUGCCCCACAGCGUGUGCCUCAGGAACCCUGAAGCUGGGCUGAGCCAUGAUGCUGCUGCCAGAACCCCUGCAGAGGGCCUGGUUUCAGGAGACUCAGAGUCCUCUGUGAAAAAGCCCUUGGAGAGCGCCCCAGCAGGGCUGCACUUGGCUCCUGUGAGGAAGGGGCUCAGGGGUCUGGGCCCCUCCGCCUGGGCCGGGCUGGGAGCCAGGCGGGCGGCUGGGCUGCAGCAAUGGACCGUGAGCUGGCCCAGCCCGCGUCCGUGCUGAGCCUGCCUGUCGUCUGUGGCCAUGCCCAUCAUGGGCUCCUCGGUGUACAUCACGGUGGAGCUGGCCAUUGCUGUGCUGGCCAUCCUGGGCAAUGUGCUGGUGUGCUGGGCCGUGUGGCUCAACAGCAACCUGCAGAACGUCACCAACUACUUUGUGGUGUCACUGGCGGCGGCCGACAUCGCAGUGGGUGUGCUCGCCAUCCCCUUUGCCAUCACCAUCAGCACCGGGUUCUGCGCUGCCUGCCACGGCUGCCUCUUCAUUGCCUGCUUCGUCCUGGUCCUCACGCAGAGCUCCAUCUUCAGUCUCCUGGCCAUCGCCAUUGACCGCUACAUUGCCAUCCGCAUCCCGCUCCGGUACAAUGGCUUGGUGACCGGCACGAGGGCUAAGGGCAUCAUUGCCAUCUGCUGGGUGCUGUCGUUUGCCAUCGGCCUGACUCCCAUGCUAGGUUGGAACAACUGCGGUCAGCCAAAGGAGGGCAAGAACCACUCCCAGGGCUGCGGGGAGGGCCAAGUGGCCUGUCUCUUUGAGGAUGUGGUCCCCAUGAACUACAUGGUGUACUUCAACUUCUUUGCCUGUGUGCUGGUGCCCCUGCUGCUCAUGCUGGGUGUCUAUUUGCGGAUCUUCCUGGCGGCGCGACGACAGCUGAAGCAGAUGGAGAGCCAGCCUCUGCCGGGGGAGCGGGCACGGUCCACACUGCAGAAGGAGGUCCAUGCUGCCAAGUCACUGGCCAUCAUUGUGGGGCUCUUUGCCCUCUGCUGGCUGCCCCUACACAUCAUCAACUGCUUCACUUUCUUCUGCCCCGACUGCAGCCACGCCCCUCUCUGGCUCAUGUACCUGGCCAUCGUCCUCUCCCACACCAAUUCGGUUGUGAAUCCCUUCAUCUACGCCUACCGUAUCCGCGAGUUCCGCCAGACCUUCCGCAAGAUCAUUCGCAGCCACGUCCUGAGGCAGCAAGAACCUUUCAAGGCAGCUGGCACCAGUGCCCGGGUCUUGGCAGCUCAUGGCAGUGACGGAGAGCAGGUCAGCCUCCGUCUCAACGGCCACCCGCCAGGAGUGUGGGCCAACGGCAGUGCUCCCCACCCUGAGCGGAGGCCCAAUGGCUAUGCCCUGGGGCUGGUGAGUGGAGGGAGUGCCCAAGAGUCCCAGGGGAACACGGGCCUCCCAGACGUGGAGCUCCUUAGCCAUGAGCUCAAGGGAGUGUGCCCAGAGCCCCCUGGCCUAGAUGACCCCCUGGCCCAGGAUGGAGCAGGAGUGUCCUGAUGAUUCAUGGAGUUUGCCCCUUCCUAAGGGAAGGAGAUCUUUAUCUUUCUGGUUGGCUUGACCAGUCACGUUGGGAGAAGAGAGAGAGUGCCAGGAGACCCUGAGGGCAGCCGGUUCCUACUUUGGACUGAGAGAAGGGAGCCCCAGGCUGGAGCAGCAUGAGGCCCAGCAAGAAGGGCUUGGGUUCUGAGGAAGCAGAUGUUUCAUGCUGUGAGGCCUUGCACCAGGUGGGGGCCACAGCACCAGCAGCAUCUUUGCUGGGCAGGGCCCAGCCCUCCACUGCAGAAGCAUCUGGAAGCACCACCUUGUCUCCACAGAGCAGCUUGGGCACAGCAGACUGGCCUGGCCCUGAGACUGGGGAGUGGCUCCAACAGCCUCCUGCCACCCACACACCACUCUCCCUAGACUCUCCUAGGGUUCAGGAGCUGCUGGGCCCAGAGGUGACAUUUGACUUUUUUCCAGGAAAAAUGUAAGUGUGAGGAAACCCUUUUUAUUUUAUUACCUUUCACUCUCUGGCUGCUGGGUCUGCCGUCGGUCCUGCUGCUAACCUGGCACCAGAGCCUCUGCCCGGGGAGCCUCAGGCAGUCCUCUCCUGCUGUCACAGCUGCCAUCCACUUCUCAGUCCCAGGGCCAUCUCUUGGAGUGACAAAGCUGGGAUCAAGGACAGGGAGUUGUAACAGAGCAGUGCCAGAGCAUGGGCCCAGGUCCCAGGGGAGAGGUUGGGGCUGGCAGGCCACUGGCAUGUGCUGAGUAGCGCAGAGCUACCCAGUGAGAGGCCUUGUCUAACUGCCUUUCCUUCUAAAGGGAAUGUUUUUUUCUGAGAUAAAAUAAAAACGAGCCACAUCGUGUUUUAAGCUUGUCCAAAUGAGAA